rnacentral:rRNA from 1 species
AUUGAACGCUGGCGGCAGGCCUAACACAUGCAAGUCGAACGAGUGGCGGACGGGUGAGUAAUGUCUGGGAAACUGCCCGAUGGAGGGGGAUAACUACUGGAAACGGUAGCUAAUACCGCAUACUAUCGGAUGUGCCCAGAUGGGAUUAGCUAGUAGGUGGGGUAACGGCUCACCUAGGCGACGAUCCCUAGCUGGUCUGAGAGGAGGACCAGCCACACGGGAACUGAGACACGGCCCAGACUCCUACGGGAGGCAGCAGUGGGGAAUAUUGCACGAUGGGCGCAAGCCUGAUGCAGCCAUGCCGCGUGUAUGAAGAAGGCCUUAGGGUUGUAAAGUACUUUCAGCGAGGAGGCGUUACCCGCAGAAGAAGCACCGGCUAACUCCGUGCCAGCAGCCGCGGUAAUAC